AUUGAACGCUAGCGGGAUGCCUUACACAUGCAAGUCGAACGGCAGCGCGGACUUCGGUCUGGCGGCGAGUGGCGAACGGGUGAGUAAUGUAUCGGAACGUGCCCAGUAGCGGGGGAUAACUACUCGAAAGAGUAGCUAAUACCGCAGACGCCCUACGGGGGAAAGGGGGGGAUCGCAAGACCUCUCACUCUUUGAGCGGCCGAUAUCUGAUUAGCUAGUUGGUGAGGUAAAGGCUCACCAAGGCGACGAUCCGUAGCUGGUUUGAGAGGACGACCAGCCACACUGGGACUGAGACGCGGCCCAGACUCCUACGGGAGGCAGCAGUGGGGAAUUUUGGACAAUGGGGGAAACCCUGAUCCAGCCAUUCCGCGUGUGCGAUGAAGGCCUUCGGGUUGUAAAGCACUUUUGGCAGGAAAGAAAUCGCAUCAAUUAAUACUUGGUGUGGAUGACGGUACCUGCAGAAUAAGCACCGGCUAACUACGUGCCAGCCGCCGCAGUAA
rnacentral:rRNA from 1 species